AUAUAUAUAUAUAUAUAUAUAUAUUAGUUUAAAAAUAAACAUAAAAUUUAUUUUAUAAAUAUAUAUA
rnacentral:tRNA from 1 species